rnacentral:rRNA from 1 species
ACGAACGCUGGCGGCAUGCCUAACACAUGCAAGUCGAACGAGACCUUCGGGUCUAGUGGCGCACGGGUGCGUAACGCGUGGGAACCUGCCCUUAGGUUCGAAAUAACUCCCCGAAAGGGGUGCUAAUACCGGAUAAUGUCUUCGGACCAAAGAUUUAUCGCCUUUGGAUGGGCCCGCGUUGGAUUAGCUAGUUGGUAGGGUAAAAGCCUACCAAGGCGACGAUCCAUAGCUGGUCUGAGAGGAUGAUCAGCCACACUGGGACUGAGACACGGCCCAGACUCCUACGGGAGGCAGCAGUGGGGAAUAUUGGACAAUGGGCGAAAGCCUGAUCCAGCAAUGCCGCGUGAGUGAUGAAGGCCUUAGGGUUGUAAAGCUCUUUUACCCGGGAUGAUAAUGACAGUACCGGGAGAAUAAGCUCCGGCUAACUCCGUG